GCCCCUGUGGCGGAAUUGGUAGACGCGACAGACUCAAAAUCUGUUGUCCGCAAGGACGUGCUGGUUCGAGUCCGGCCAGGGGUACCA
rnacentral:tRNA from 1 species